rnacentral:rRNA from 1 species
UAAACGACUCUCGGCAACGGAUAUCUCGGCUCUCGCAUCGAUGAAGAANNNNNCGAAAUGCGAUACUUGGUGUGAAUUGCAGAAUCCCGUGAAYCAUCGAGUUUUUGAACGCAAGUUGCGCCCGAAGCCAUUAGGUUGAGGGCACGUCUGCCUGGGCGUCUCAC